GGUAGAUAGGUUGGGAGUGGAAGUGCUGUAAGGCAUGCAGCGGACCAAUACUAAUAAAUCGAGGGCUUAUCUUU
rnacentral:rRNA from 1 species